UCAUAACGACUCUCGGCAACGGAUAUCUCGGCUCUCGCAUCGAUGAAGAACGUAGCGAAAUGCGAUACUUGGUGUGAAUUGCAGAAUCCCGUGAACCAUCGAGUCUUUGAACGCAAGUUGCGCCCGACGCCUUCGGGCUGAGGGCACGCCUGCCUGGGCGUC
rnacentral:rRNA from 3 species